rnacentral:snRNA from 8 species
AUACUUACCUGGCAAGGGAGACACCGUGAUCAAGAAGGCGGUUCACCCAGGGCGAGGCUUAGCCAUUGCACUCCGGCUGUGCUGACCCCUGCGAAUUUCCCAAAUGUGGAAAUCUCGAUUGCAUAAUUUCUGGUAGUGGGGGACUGCGUUCGCGCUCUCCCCUG